rnacentral:rRNA from 1 species
UACCAGCUCUCCGAGUGGUAGGGAUGAUUAUUGGGCUUAAAGCGUCCGUAGCCAGCUUAGCAAGUUUCCUGUUAAAUUCAGCGACCUAAUCGUUGAGCCGCGGGAAAUACUACUAGGCUAGGAGGCGGGAGAGGUCGACGGUACUUCUGGGGUAGGGGUGAAAUCCUGUAAUCCCGGGAGGACCACCAGUGGCGAAGGCUGUCGACUAGAACGCGCUCGACGGUGAGGGACGAAAGCUGGGGGAGCGAACCGGAUUAGAUACCCGGGUAGUCCCAGCUGUAAACGAUGCGGGCUAGGUGUUGGGGUGGCUACGUGCCACUUCAGUGCCGCAGGGAAGCCAUUAAGCCCGCCGCCUGGGGAGUACGGCCGCAAGGCUGAAACUUAAAGGAAUUGGCGGGGGAGCACCACAAGGCGUGAAGCUUGCGGUUC